AUGUUUGCGUUUUAGUUUUUGGUUUUUUGAAAUUAUAUAUGUAUCAAAUGUAAUAGAAUACAUGACACUUGACACGUGAAAAAAUAUCAUUUUUAUGGAAAAUAGCUAGUGUUUAAAAAUCGUGAUUUUUGUAAAUAGAGUGACGACUUACUCUUAAGCAUCUUCCGCAAGAAUCACGGCCUCGCGGUCCAGUUGGACCGCAGAAAGCUGUCCAACCGUACUUCCUACGCCAUUCGAUAGGUUGGUUUCCUUUCCAUGUUGAGCAAUACGCACUUACUUUGUAAAGGUCCCAACCGUUUUGCUCGGGAUAAUAGUAAUGGUAAGUUGCUCUUACAUUAGAAGCGGUUUGAGCGGCUGCUUUAGCCGCAAAUGUGCAUAGCAAAACAAACAAACAUAUGCUAAGUCUUGCCAUAGGUGAUCUUUUAUGUUUGUUCUCUAAAAUAUAUUGUGAUACAAUCAGAGAUGGACGAAGAAAUUUAUAGGGAAAUAGUUUUCUUACAGAAUGGAUAAAUUGCUAUACCAAAAAGUUUGUCACAUUGUGAAUACUUUUCUUAGGGUUUGAAUUUUCAGUGGAUGACUAGCUAGCCUUGGGAGAUGUCUAUGGCGGCUUAUCAAGUUUUGUGGUGGAAAUUGAAAGUUUCUGAGGUAAUAAGAUUGAGCAUUUAUUAGAGGGGACAAAUGUUUAUGUUAUCUCACUUUAGUCUUGCUUGCUUCUUGUUGCCGGUAAGUGUAUGUAAUGACUUAUUUUUUCUUUUUGGUUUUGUUAUGUAAUGACAACUAUAAUGACUUAAUGAGUCUUUAUUUUACUAUUCGAUGAUUCGAUCUAAGACAUCUGAGUUUAUAUUCGAAUAAAUGUUAAAUUCAGAAUAUUUCAAUAUUUGGUUUACGUGAUUGAUAACUAGAACUAAAAUAUUCAUAUAUCCAGUGUAACCAAAAAGAAAUUAAGAAUAACAAAUGAGAUCAAUAUAUCCACUAAAAAAAUUAGAUAUUCGGAUAUUGAUUUUUAAUUUGUGAGAGAGAUGUUCAUGAUUAAAUCUACAUUAAUCAUUCUGAACCGGUUAAAAGUCAAUCAUCUAAAAUUAUGACCAUACAUGUUACUAAUACUCUAUACUUAGCUUCUAGCAGUUAUAAACAUGUAAAUCUAUGUGUAUAUAACUUAUGGAUGCAAAAUUUGCAUGGGUGUACACCUGUUUAUAUUCAAAUCCAAUUAUCAUUUUAUUCCUUAACAACUUUCCAAACACAUUAUUUUUGAUUAAUGGGUUUAUCUUCAUUGAUAUGAAAGAUAAACUCGAGACAUUAUUUUCUCUUAUUAAAAUUAUGUUAUAGUUUAAAGGUAGAUGCUGUGAUCCCUUAGAGGAACUAGAACUUGAAGAACUUCAGCAGUUGACAAACUCGUAGUUGACAAUCAAGUGCCCACGAGCGUUUCCCUGACCGUUAGUAUCAAGCUGUCUGAAAACACCCUCGUCUAAAUCCAAACCCCCGUUACUACACUGAUCCACGAUUCUCACUGUGGCUUGCGUUCCGGUCGCAGUAUUCGUCACCUGCGUUUGAGGGGACAUAUGCACACAUUCACAAAUUUUAUAUAGAAAAGGGCGUUUGAAAACGUGAUUUUUGAAAUAGAUAAAAAAUGACUUACCCUUAAACAUCUACCGCAAGAAUCACGACCGCGAGGUCCAACUGGACCGCAAAAAGCUG
rnacentral:lncRNA from 1 species